rnacentral:rRNA from 1 species
GGUUCUUAAUCGUCCCACAUUUCUUGGAUACUGUGGUAAUUCUAGAGCUAAUACAUGCAAACAGAGCUCCGACCGGAGACGGAAGGAGCGCUUUUAUUAGAUCAAAACCAAUCGGCGGCGGGUUCGCUCGUCGUCGUACAUUUUGGUGACUCUGAAUAACUUUUUGCUGAUCGCACGGUCUUGCACCGGCGACGCAUCUUUCAAAUGUCUGCCCUAUCAACUGUCGAUGGUAGGUUCUGCGCCUACCAUGGUUGUAACGGGUAACGGGGAAUCAGGGUUCGAUUCCGGAGAGGGAGCCUGAGAAACGGCUACCACAUCCAAGGAAGGCAGCAGGCGCGCAAAUUACCCACUCCCGGCACGGGGAGGUAGUGGCGAAAAAUAACGAUACGGGACUCAUCCGAGGCCCCGUAAUCGGAAUGAGUACACUCUAAACCCUUUAACGAGGAUCAAUUGGAGGGCAAGUCUGGUU